GAUGAACGCUGGCGGCGUGCCUAAUACAUGCAAGUCGAGCGAACAGAUGAGGAGCUUGCUCCUCUGACGUUAGCGGCGGACGGGUGAGUAACACGUGGAUAACCUACCUAUAAGACUGGGAUAACUUCGGGAAGCCGGAGCUAAUACCGGAUAAUAUAUUGAACCGCAUGGUUCAAUAGUGAAAGACGGUUUUGCUGUCACUUAUAGAUGGAUCCGCGCCGCAUUAGCUAGUUGGUAAGGUAACGGCUUACCAAGGCAACGAUGCGUAGCCGACCUGAGAGGGUGAUCGGCCACACCGGAACUGAGACACGGUCCAGACUCCUACGGGAGGCAGCAGUAGGGAAUCUUCCGCAAUGGGCGAAAGCCUGACGGAGCAACGCCGCGUGAGUGAUGAAGGUCUUCGGAUCGUAAAACUCUGUUAUUAGGGAAGAACAAAUGUGUAAGUAACUAUGCACGUCUUGACGGUACCUAAUCAGAAAGCCACGGCUAACUACGUG
rnacentral:rRNA from 1 species